UUAUUAUUAUUAUUAUUAUUUACUAUGAAAACCAAAUCAAAUUAAUAAACGCCUUGAAAACUAACAUUGAACUGAAUUAUAAAAAAAUUCAAACAAAAGAACCUGAACAGCAACAGUUCAGUUCAGUUCAGUUUUUCAUUUUAAACCAAAUAAUUCUACCCCUUUGCAUCAUCCAAGAGAGAUGCAUUUAUUACUACCCACUUUAAUUUCAACUUGUACCAACUCUGGCAACCUAAACAUGUACAAAUUUGCUUCUAGCAUCUUCAAAAUGCUCCUUUCUCAAAUUCUUUUUGAACAUUUUGCAUUUAAGACAUUGUACAAAAGCUAAGCCUAUGUCAACAACAACUAAAGGAGCAACAAUUUGCUUUGUUGUUUAAAGCCUGCACUCUCACAGCACAAAGUUGCAGAUAUUCUAUAAAGCACAGGGGCAAUAAGCUAUAUUCUAAAACCUUAAGCUAAAACUAAAGACCCUUCCUAAUAAAAUCGCUAAAACAUAAAAGUGCCUAUGAAAUGGAAACUCACAACAGCUGAUUAGAAUGUCAUCCCUAAGCAUCUGGGCUUCUACGCAAAUUACAAACCUAGAUUACAUGAUGCAUGCAUAUUUACUCAAAGUGAGGAGGCACUUGCAAUAGAAAUGACAAAAUAAACUCCCCAUACAAACCCUAUAAACACAGCAGUCACAUGUAAAAGUUCAACAAAUUAACAUUUCUCAUCUCAAUAAGAGAGAAUGAACAUGCAGGUAUUGUUCUCAG
rnacentral:misc_RNA from 1 species